rfam:Dactylellina haptotyla CBS 200.50 unplaced genomic scaffold scaffold00325, whole genome shotgun sequence.
GGUUUUUUAACUUAACGGUAAAGUAUAUUUUUGAUAAGAAUACUAUUCAAGUUCGAAUCUUGAAAGAACCA